GAUGUCAAGAUGUGCCAUGGCUGACUGCCUCCCUGAGCUGCGAGGAGUUGCUGCUGAGGCAGGAGUACAGCAAUAGAACGUAUGGCUUUUGGUACAGAUUCCUAACCACUGGUUGAACAAGCUGAAAUCAAGAAAAGUAGUUCUUUACUACCUUCAAAAGUGACGCAUCCCCUGCCUUUCCAGCUCAUGCCGAGAUGAUUAGCACUACCUGACACAACAGCUUCCUGAGGAAUUUUGUGAAUGCAGUGAGCUUCAGAAAGCUUGGCAGUGAGAAGAAACACAAACAUGCCUCACCCUCAUCUCGGAGGGUACUCGAUGCCGUGCGUUUUGAAGUCAAGCACUCGAUGAUGUGGAGUACCCUGGUCUUCUCCAUCUCCUGGCCCCAUCCCUGUAGCCAUGGCAAUAGUGUGUCCUACAAAGCGUGGGGCUGGCGCUGAGCAUGGCGCAUGUCUCAUCACCAACAACAGGUAAUCCGAGGAGUGGGAGCCUUUUCUCUCCGCCGUUGCAGCAGUGUGGAGUGUGGUGGAACCGGCAGCGCUGGUCCCCCUGCGCCAUUCCCCUCUCCUCCUCGGCUGCCUCCCCUCCUCAGGCUGUCCUUCACACAGGCAUCAGCCAACAGGAGGGGAAAAAAGACUAAUAUUAAUAAUUGCAUUAUGAGUUCCAAAGCCAGGAAGCUUGACUGGCCUUUUUAUCGCUGAUAUGAUAAUGUGGUGAGCAGAGAAGAUACCAUCAGAGGUUGCUUUCAUCUCUGGAGAUAUUUAAUAAACUAGAUGUCUAUUUUGGUCUCA